AACGCACAUUGCGCCCCCUGGUACUCCGGGGGGCAUGCCUGUCUGAGCGUCAUCGCACAACCCCUCGGGCCACGGCCCGGUGAUGGGGCGCGACGCGGGCCGAGAGGCCCCGCGCCCGCCCCCAAAUCGAUCGGACGGCGGCCCCAACUGGCGGGCCCGCGUACGUGUUUGACGAGCCCCAGAGGCGAACCUCACGCAACGCGGCGCCACGACCGGGAGGGGACCCGCGGAUGGGUCCGCCGGCGAAGGCCGGGAAGCCACAGCACUUGACCUCAGAUCAGGUAGGGAUACCCGCUGAACUUAA
rnacentral:misc_RNA from 1 species